UACGUAGGGUGCGAGCGUUGCCCGGAAUCACUGGGCGUAAAGGGCGCGUAGGCGGCCUGAUAAGUAGGGUGUGAAAUCUUGCGGCUUAACCGCAAGGCUGCCUUCUAAACUGUCAGGCUAGAGCACAGUAGAGGCAGGUGGAAUUCCCGGUGUAGCGGUGGAAUGCGUAGAGAUCGGGAAGAACAUCAGUGGCGAAGGCGGCCUGCUGGGCUGUUGCUGACGCUGAGGCGCGACAGCGUGGGGAGCAAACAGG
rnacentral:rRNA from 1 species